UUUUCCUUUUUUUUUUUUUUUUUUUUUUUUUUUUUUUUCCCCUUUUUUUUUUUUUUUUUUUUUUUUUUUUUUUUUUUUCUUUUUUUCUUCCCUUUCUUUUCUUAAAUAGCUUAAGUCAAAGCUUCGCAAGCCAGGACUUGAAGAAAGUCUUUUUUUUUUUUUUUUUUUUUUUUUAUCCCUGUCUGUUUUUUUUUUCUUCCCCAAAUCGCAUCCAAGCAAAUCUGUAACUGAGAUGAUUCAGUGCAGCAGCACUCAGGGCUUGGCUGCUCCGAGGGGCACAGGCUGGCCCUGGGAUGUGAUGGGAAGGGGCACUGGGUGGGCUGGGGGGCAUUCAGGGAGAGGUGCUCCUUCAGAAGGUGCUGAAUGGGGAGGAAUGUGGGUUUGGGGACAGAUGUUCACUCAGGAGAUGUGGUUUUGGGAAGGAGGAAGAUUUUGGGAAGGGUGCUGAAUUUAGGGGGUGAUUCUGGUUUGGGAUGGAUGUGGAUUUUGGGAGAGAUGCUGAAUUUAGGGGGUGAUUCUGGUUUGGGAUAGAUGUAGAUUUUGGGAGAGAUGCUGAAUUUGGUGGAUGAUGCUGGUUUGGGAUGGAUGUGGAUUUUGGGAGAGGUGCUAGUUUUGGAGAGAUGCUGGUCUGGGAACAAUGCUUAUUUUUGGGAGGGAUAAGGGUGUGCAAGGUGCUGCUUUAGAGAGGGCUGUUUGUUUGGAGGAGUCUUGGAAGGAUGCAGAUUUUGGGAGAGAUGCUGAUUUGGGAAGGGAUGCUGGUUUGGGAAGUGGUGCUUGUUUGGAGCAUGCUGGUCCAGGAAGGAUGCUGCUUUGGGGAUGCUGAUUUGGGGAGGAAUGCAGGUUUGGGGAGGAAUGCAGGUUUGUGGGAUGCUGGUUUAGGAAGGGAUGCUGCUUUGUGGGAUGCAGGUUCAGGGAGAGAUGCUGGUUUGUGGGAUGCUGGUUUGGGAAGGGAUGCUGCUUUGUGGGAUGCUGAUUUAGGGGGGGAUGCCGAUUUGGGGAGGGAUGCUGGUUUAGGGGAUA
rnacentral:lncRNA from 1 species